AUGAACUGCAGCUGUACAGUCCUUGUAAGGCAAUGAAAGGUCGGGCUGGGAUCACGUUUUGAGAAACUGAGAGAUCAUAUGUAGCUGUAGCUGCUUGGUAGCAUCUGACACAAGAAAAGUUAAACCCCUUUCAGAAAAUCAACUAUUGUAAUGAAGGUGAACUAUCAACUGCAUGUGAACCUCUCAAGACAAUUGUAUCUUUCAUGAAUUAAAUUCCAUGGAUGCAGUAUGGAAAAAGUGGGACAUUCCCAAUGGCAUGCUGGUGUGUGGAAACAGGACUUUUCCUGGAAAUGAUCAAUUAUGCUCUGGAUGAAUGAAAACAACUCGUUCUUGUAAAGAAAUGCUUAUAUUUCUGCACUGGCCAUCGGAGCGAAACAACCCCGUGACGUCACAUGUGGUGGUACUGCAAGAUGGCGGCGCCCUUGGUCCUAAAGCUAUAACAAAACAACCAUUUUUCUUUAAAAAUUGUACAUUAAUCAUGUUUGUUUUAUAUACAUUUUAUUAAAAUGGAAGUUGUUUUCCCAAAUAAUGCAAA